rnacentral:rRNA from 1 species
UGGGGAAUAUUGCACAAUGGGCGCAAGCCUGAUGCAGCCAUGCCGCGUGUAUGAAGAAGGCCUUCGGGUUGUAAAGUACUUUCAGUCGGGAGGAAGGUGGUAAGGUUAAUAACCUUAUCAAUUGACGUUACCGACAGAAGAAGCACCGGCUAACUCCGUGCCAGCAGCCGCGGUAAUACGGAGGGUGCAAGCGUUAAUCGGAAUUACUGGGCGUAAAGCGCACGCAGGCGGUUGAUUGAGUCAGAUGUGAAAUCCCCGGGCUCAACCUGGGAACUGCAUUCGAAACUGGCAGGCUAGAGUCUUGUAGAGGGGGGUAGAAUUCCAGGUGUAGCGAUGAAAUGCGUAGAGAUCUGGAGGAAUACCGGUGGCGAAGGCGGCCCCCUGGACAAAGACUGACGCUCAGGUGCGAAAGCGUGGGGAGCAAACAGG